rnacentral:rRNA from 1 species
AUUGAACGCUGGCGGCAGGCCUAACACAUGCAAGUCGAACGAGUGGCGGACGGGUGAGUAAUGUCUGGGAAACUGCCUGACGGAGGGGGAUAACUACUGGAAACGGUAGCUAAUACCGCAUACCAUCAUAUGUGCCCUGAUGGGAUUAGCUAGUUGGUGGGGUAACGGCUCACCCAGGCGACGAUCCCUAGCUGGUCUGAGAGGAUGACCAGCCACACUGGAACUGAGACACGGUCCAGACUCCUACGGGAGGCAGCAGUGGGGAAUAUUGGACAAUGGGCGCAAGCCUGAUGCAGCCAUGCCGCGUGUAUGAAGAAGGCCUUCGGGUUGUAAAGUACUGUCAGCGGGGAGGCGUUACCCGCAGAAGAAGCACCGGCUAACUCCGUGCCAGCCGCCGCGGUAAUAC